GACGAACGCUGGCGGCGUGCUUAACACAUGCAAGUCGAACGGAAAGGCCCUGCUUUUGUGGGGUGCUCGAGUGGCGAACGGGUGAGUAACACGUGAGUAACCUGCCCUUGACUUUGGGAUAACUUCAGGAAACUGGGGCUAAUACCGGAUAGGAGCUCCUGCUGCAUGGUGGGGGUUGGAAAGUUUCGGCGGUUGGGGAUGGACUCGCGGCUUAUCAGCUUGUUGGUGGGGUAGUGGCUUACCAAGGCUUUGACGGGUAGCCGGCCUGAGAGGGUGACCGGCGACAUUGGGACUGAGGUACGGCCCAGACUCCUACGGGAGGCAGCAGUGGGGAAUAUUGCACAAUGGGCGGAAGCCUGAGGCAGCAACGCCGCGUGCGGGAUGACGGCCUUCGGGUUGUAAACCGCUUUCGCCUGUGACGAAGCGUGAGUGACGGUAAUGGGUAAAGAAGCACCGGCUAACUACGUG
rnacentral:rRNA from 1 species